rnacentral:rRNA from 1 species
GAUGAACCGUGCGAACGUUGUUCGGAAUCACUGGGCUUAAAGGGCGCGUAGGCGGCUUCGCAAGUCUGGGGUGAAAUCCAUCGGCUCAACCGGUGGACGGCCUGGGAUACUGCGCGGCUGGAGGGGGGUAGGGGCGACGGGAACGGCCAGUGGAGCGGUGAAAUGCGUUGAGAUUGGCAGGAACGCCGGUGGCGAAAGCGCGUCGCUGGACCCCACCUGACGCUGAGGCGCGAAAGCCAGGGGAGCAAACGGG